GCUUCCGGGGAGCGCUGCGAGGCUAGUCCCCAGGCCCGGAACCUUCAAAACGGCGCUCACCUGCU
rnacentral:ncRNA from 2 species